CAGGAAAGGAAGCAGAAGUGCACAUGUUUCAGUAAAGCUAGUUUACUGUAAACAUUUGCCAAAAUAUGACAUGCAUGCCUCAUCUGGCCUUCAUAUCAGUGAGUUAAUUUGUUCCUGACCUCGUGGAUGGAUGAUGAUCCCCCAUCCUAACUAUGGAACUAGGGAACAAGACCCUGUGCAUUGUCUGCAAGGAAUCUGGUGGAAGGGACAUAACUGCUGUCACAGCUCCUAAGCUGCUUCACCAAGUAAAACUGUUUGAGGAAUCCGGACUGAUCACCAAUGAUGCGGAUAUCAAUCUUUCACAGAGACUGUCAGCUGUCAAUGCAGAAACUUUACAGGAUGGAUAUAAAAUCCACAAGAGUUGCUAUGAUCGCUAUAAUAACAGCCAUUUCAAUUGUGCGAAGGAUCGUAAACGGAAAAGAGAACUGGACCUUGCAGAUCACCAGACUAUUGGGGCAAACACACGAGCAAAGGCUGGGCCUAGUCUUGCGUUUGGAGCCGAACUUUGCUUCUAUUGUGAAGAGCCAGCCAUUGAGAACCCUCGGAAGAAGGACAAAUCAGAACCAUUGUUAGCUGCUGCGGGAAAAGAAAAGUCAGCAAAACAUGUGAAGGAUUUCACAGACA